GUGCCAGCAGCGGCGGUAAUACGGAGGGUGCAAGCGUUAAUCGGAAUUACUGGGCGUAAAGCGCACGCAGGCGGUCUGUUAAGUCAGAUGUGAAAUCCCCGGGCUCAACCUGGGAACUGCAUCUGAUACUGGCAGGCUUGAGUCUCGUAGAGGGGGGGUAGAAUUCCAGGUGUAGCGGUGAAAAUGCGUAGAGAUCUGGAGGAAUACCGGUGGCGAGGCGGCCCCCUGGACGAAGACUGACGCUCAGGUGCGAAAGCGUGGGGAGCAAACAGGAUUAGAUACCCUGGUAGUCCACGCCGUAAACGAUGUCGACUUGGAGGUUGUGCCCUUGAGGCGUGGCUUCCGGAGCUAACGCGUUAAGUCGACCGCCUGGGGAGUACGGCCGCAAGGUUAAAACUCAAAUGAAUUGACGGGGCCCGCACAAGCGGUGGAGCAAUGUAGGUUUAAUUCGAUGCAACGCGAAGAACCUUACCUGGUCUUGACAUCCACAGAAGUUUUCAGAGAUGAGAACGUG
rnacentral:rRNA from 1 species